CACGCCGUAAACGAUGAGUACUAGGUGUAGGGGGUAUCGACCCCCCCUGUGCCGCAGUAAACACAAUAAGUACUCCGCCUGGGAAGUACGAUCGCAAGAUUAAAACUCAAAGGAAUUGACGGGGACCCGCACAAGCAGCGGAGCAUGUGGUUUAAUUCGAUGCAACGCGAAGAACCUUACCAAGGCUUGACAUCCCUCUGAAGUAUAUAGAGAUAUAUACGGCUUUUAGGAGACAGAGGAGACAGGUGG
rnacentral:rRNA from 1 species